rnacentral:lncRNA from 10 species
GGACGAGCUUCCGCAUCAGGAGUGAGGCACCUAAGAUAACAUGAGAUAAUUAUAACACUCUGGUCAAUGUUGGGAGCAGGCCACAGAGUGUAAAGGGUCAAGGUUAAACUCCACUGUGUGUCCACUAUGGUAUUUUCACCUAAGAUAACCUGGGAUAAGAUGGAUAUCAAGCACAGCUUUGAGUCCAAGACUUCUCAAAAGGCAUUUGGAAAGCUAAGGAAGGAAAAGGAGUCAGCGUUAUUCUCUUUGCACUUGGGCUGGAAGACAUUGCAUGGAAAAGCAUCAUGAAAAUCCCUGUCCUGUUCUGCUCUGUUCUGAUUACCAGUGGAUGCAGCCCCCAGUCAAGUACCCCCUGCCUGCUCAAUUGAUCACGAUCCUUUCACACAGACCCCCUUAGAGUUGUAAGCCCUUAAAAGGGACAGGAACUGCUCACUCAGGGAGCUCAGUUUUUGGAGACGUGAGUCUGCCGGUGCUCCCAGCUGAAUAAAGCCCUUUCCUUCUACAACUCAGCAUCUGAGGGGUUCUUGCCUGUGGCUCGUCCUGCUACAAAGUAAUUACUACUGCUACCCACACAUCAUAGAUGAGAAAAUUGGGCCUCAGGGAAAUUAAAUUGAGUGGAAGAGGGGGCAUUAGAAUCUAGUUGACUCCAGAACUUGGUGACGCUCUAAACCUUUACACUCCAAUGUUGCUAUCUGACUCCCCUACUAGUAUGUUAACCCCAAGAGUCCUGGGUAGCCAUAGCCAGGGUCUAUUAGUUUCAGAAGAGAUUUACAG